rnacentral:tRNA from 1 species
GCCUUCGUGAUGUAGUGGUUAGCGCGCUUGACCCGUAAUCGAGAGGUCCGAGGUUCGAUUCCCGGCUAAGGCG